CACGUAGUUAGCCGGGGCUUCUUAGUCAGGUACCGUCAUUUUCUUCCCUGCUGAUAGAGCUUUACAUACCGAAAUACUUCAUCGCUCACGCGGCGUCGCUGCAUCAGGGUUCCCCCAUUGUGCAAUAUUCCCCACUGCUGCCUCCCGUAGGAGUCUGGGCCGUGUCUCAGUCCCAAUGUGGCCGUUCACCCUCUCAGGCCGGCUACUGAUCGUCGCCUUGGUGGGCCGUUACCCCGCCAACUAACUAAUCAGACGCGGGUCCAUCUCAUACCACCGGAGUUUUUCACACCGGACCAUGCGGUCCUGUGCGCUUAUGCGGUAUUAGCAGUCAUUUCUAACUGUUAUCCCCCUGUAUGAGGCAGGUUACCCACGCGUUACUCACCCGUCCGCCGCUCAGUCAAAUCACUUCUCCUCCCGAAAGAAUCAAAGCAAAGUGCUUCGCUCGACUUGCAUGUGUUAGGCACGCCGCCAGCGUUCAUCCUGAGCCAGGAUCAAACU
rnacentral:rRNA from 1 species